rnacentral:rRNA from 2 species
GGACUACACGGGUAUCUAAUCCUGUUUGCUCCCCACGCUUUCGUGCCUGAACGUCGGUGCUGGACCAGGAAGCCGCUUUCGCCACUGGUGUUCCUUCAGAUAUCUACGCAUUUCACCGCUACACCUGAAAUUCCGCUUCCCUCUUCCGCACCCUAGCAGAGCAGUCUCGAAUGCCAUUCCCAGGUUGAGCCCGGGGCUUUCACAUCCGACUUACGCUACCGUCUACGCACGCUUUACGCCCAGUAAUUCCGAUUAACGCUCGCACCCUCUGUAUUACCGCGGCGGCUGGCAC